GAUGAACGCUGGCGGCGUGCUUAACACAUGCAAGUCGAACGAAGCACUUUAUUUGAUUUCUUCGGAAUGAAGAUUUUGUGACUGAGUGGCGGACGGGUGAGUAACGCGUGGGUAACCUGCCUCAUACAGGGGGAUAACAGUUGGAAACGACUGCUAAUACCGCAUAAGCGCACAGGGUCGCAUGACCUGGUGUGAAAAACUCCGGUGGUAUGAGAUGGACCCGCGUCUGAUUAGCCAGUUGGUGGGGUAACGGCCUACCAAAGCGACGAUCAGUAGCCGACCUGAGAGGGUGACCGGCCACAUUGGGACUGAGACACGGCCCAAACUCCUACGGGAGGCAGCAGUGGGGAAUAUUGCACAAUGGGGGAAACCCUGAUGCAGCGACGCCGCGUGAGCGAAGAAGUAUUUCGGUAUGUAAAGCUCUAUCAGCAGGGAAGAAGAAAUGA
rnacentral:rRNA from 1 species